AGAAGAGGAGGGAAUGAAGGAGAAAGAGGCCCCCUUCUAAUGAAGGAGAAAGAGGCCCCCUUCUAAUGAAGGAGAAAGAGGCCCUGUUCUUAUCUUAUCACAACAGCCCUGAUGAGACAGGCCCAAGGCCCAAGUAAGCCCAGGCGGUGAUCACGCUCCUCACAUGCACAGUACUAACCACAGUCACGAGCUUCCCUGCUGAUAAGCACACCCUGAGCAUGCGGUGGGCACACCCUGAGCACGAGGUGUACAUGACUUGGGCACGAGCACAGUCAGUACGUGGGGGGCUGGACACAUGAAUGGGAUAGGCUCAGGGGGCUGAACAGGGCGGGGAAACAAAUGUAUAAAAGGCUUUGCAUGACCUGUAUGUGUGUGCCAGACUUUGGAAGCAAUUCCGCUGGUACCUGCUGCGCAGUAACCGAAUAAACUUUUUCUCUGUG